rnacentral:tRNA from 1 species
CUCACCAUAGCUCAGUUGGUAGAGCGUCGGACUGUAAUUGGUUAACAAUCAAAGCCGCCUAAUCAGGCGAUUUCAUCCGCAGGUCCUGUGUUCGACUCACAGUGGUGAGA